GUAUAUCACUAGGGGAGCCGAAUAGGCUGAGAUUGGAUCAAUAGAUCCUAGACCCUCUGAACCUGAUCUGGGUUAUACCAGCGUAGGAAAGUGGAGAUCAUUGGCG
rnacentral:ncRNA from 1 species